CAGCAUUAUAACGACAAGUUUGUCUUCUAAAAUUGCCUCAGCCAGCAAUUUAUUUUGCGCCGCCAUCUUGGAUGUUUACUUUCGUGUACUACGCAUGCGCUGUUACGACAAUCCGUAAGCAGAUAGCUUUCGUUCGCCGCACACGGAAAGAUUUUGGCACGCGAGGCAGAAAUUAUCAAACAUGUUAAGGCCGGCGCACACUAGAGCUAUGUGCUUAGCAAAAUGUCAUUCGUGACUGUUGGCGUAAGGAGAUAGCUCUCGUGUGCGGGCGAUUUACGAAC